ACCCGCACAAGCGGUGAUGAUGUGGUUUAAUUCGAUGCAACGCGAAAACCUUACCCACCUUUGACAUGUACGGAAUCCUUUAGAGAUAGAGGAGUGCUCGAAAGAGAACCGUAACACAGGUGCUGCAUGGCUGUCGUCAGCUCGUGUCGUGAGAUGUUGGGUUAAGUCCCGCAACGAGCGCAACCCUUUGUCAUUAGUUGCUACAUUCAGUUGGGCACUCUAAUGAGACUGCCGGUGACAAACCGGAGGAAGGUGGGGAUGACGUCAAGUCCUCAUGGCCCUUAUAGGUGGGGCUACACACGUCAUACAAUGGAUGGUACAAAGGGUCGCCAACCCGCGAGGGGGAGCCAAUCCCAUAAAGCCAUUCGUAGUCCGGAUCGCAGUCUGCAACUCGACUGCGUGAAGUCGGAAUCGCUAGUAAUCGUGGAUCAGAAUGUCACGGUGAAUACGUUCCCGGGUCUU
rnacentral:rRNA from 1 species